AAUUAAUUUUAUUGGUACAUAUAUACUUUUUUUUAGAGUGCUGUUGUAAAAAAUUUACCAGCACACUUUUGCAUAGGCUCUGCUCUCAAGUCCUUGCCCAAAAGCCACAUCUUUGUGAGGUCUAUUUGGCUCUUGCUGAAUGCACUCUGUCUUUCCCACAGCAAAUUGGAGCCUAAAGUGUUUUUCUACAUUAAGUGGGAAUUAGUUGUGUAUAUAUCUACUCCUUUGCCUGUACUAUAAACUACUAGACAAGAAAAAAUCUGAUGUAUUUUUAUUUUAACAUGAUCCAUGGAUCUAUCUUCAAGACUGUCAAGAAAUGUUUGUCAAAAAUUAAAUAUUUUACUAGGCUUAAUUUAUAUAACUGUACAAGGUGUUUCUCUACCUCUCUCUCCCCUCCCCCCAUUUUUUUCCAAUUGAAUCUAGGAAAUCUUUCCAUUACUCAUUAGUAGAUUACUUGACAACAAGAGUGGAUUUGAAGGCAAGGAAUUAAAUUAAUAUUUUUCACCAGAUUUUGAUAAUGUAUAAUAUCAGUACCACAUCAGCAAAUCUUUUAGACUUUAUUUACUUAACUUGAGAAAAACCAAACAACUUUCUUCUCUUUUGCAAAGAUAAUCUAAGUACAGAAGAUGAAUUCGUGCCAGGAUAAAGUUAUUGUGUGCUGAGCUAGCUUUUUUUUGUAUGUUCCUGGCAUAUUUUUUGAUCUGAGAUUCUUCACACAGACUCUUCCUAGUUAAAAAUGUUAUCAUUAGCACUUUCAUGCACUUACUGUAUUUGAGUAAAUCCAUAUCACAUCUCUAUGAGAUAGGGAAUAUAUUGUUAUUGUUUUAAAAUAAGAAAACAAUACCAGAGCACUUACAGUACUCCUUUAAGAUCUUACAACUAGGAAGUGACAGAGCUGGAAUUUGAGCCUAAGCAAUCUAGCUUGAGAAUUAAAUUUGCCAAAGCAGUUUUAAUUUCCAAGAAACAGUCUUUUGAGAGAGAAACUUUUUUCUGUUCUAAAAGAUAAAAUGCCUGAAGAUAUUAGAUCAUAUAGUCCAACCAUAAACCAUACAGGUGCAAAGAAUUUGGGUUCUUUGGAGAAACAGAAGCAGUACAAUGUACACGUAAUUACAAGAUGGGAUCGAGGGGACUGGCUCAUGCAGAGGCAGCGAAGAUCCACAGUGACUGUCUGCAGGCUGCAGAGCCAGGAGAAGUGCAAGCUAUUCAUCCUGAAGCUGGAAGCUGGUGAACAUACAGAGCCAAGGAUGUAGCUGAGGCUGAAAGCCUGAAAGCCCCAGGAAGGCCCACUGGGGCAAGUCUGUGUUCAAGACCUGAAGAGUCUGAAGGCAGUUGUCUACCAGCAACAGCAGCAUCAAAAACCACACCAGACCAAGAAGGAUCAAUGAACACAGUUGUGUUUGUGGCAAACCUUUAUCCCAACAUCCUGGAAGGCAGAGGCCAUGAGGAUCACCAAUUGGAGCAUAGCCUGGCAUGAGGCUGUGGAUCAGUGUGAAGGGCCUGGGUUCAAUUCCCAGUACCAGGAUGAAUGAAAUGAGAAAGAGAAAGACAAAGAACUAAUGACAGGAAAGAGAGAUAGGAAAGGAAGGAAGGAAGGGAAAGAAAGAAAGGGGAGGUAGAAGCAAGUAAGCAAGAGAGAAAGAAAGAAAGAGAGAGAGAGAAAGAAAGAAAGAAAGAAAGAAAGAAAGAAAGAAAGAAAGAAAGAAAGAAAGAAAGAAAAUGGGAAAGAGAGGUCAGUCAAGCUCAUCAGUGGUAGCUUUCCCCUGCUUGCAGAUUGGCGGUGGUGGUGGUAGCAGUUGUUCUUGCUCCAUUUGGGUCCUCCACCAUGUGUGGCCAUGUUCAGGGCAGGUCUUCCUCAUGUACUUUGCUGACCAGUUUUCUUCUGUGACACAGUUUUCUUCUGUGAAAACGCCUCAUAAAAACAUCCAAAAGUGUGCCUCGUGUUUCUGGCCAGGCUCUAAGGAUGUACAGACAUAAAGAUGUACGUAUCCUGAUCAUUUCAGCCUCUCAUGCCAGGCGAUUGGUCGGUGAGGACUUGAACGAGCUUACUGGUAGUAGUAACUGAACUUGGUUAUGAGAGAACAUUGGAUUGCUGCAGUGCAAUGGAUGUCUGGUGCUAGGUAUUUCUCUGCGACCGUUUCUCAGGAAGCUCUCUGCAUGUCCCUCUUCAUCUCAGAAGCCAAUUCCAUGGAACCCGAUCUAAAACAGAUGGAGAUGACAUUCAUGUCGUUUAUAAACACUUAGCCAGAGUAAUCUGGAGGAUGUUUUCAGUAAUAAAUUCAGAGUCACACUUUGAACACGAAAACAAGUAUCUUUUCUUUAUUCCCUCGCCUAUU